AGCAUGUUAGCUCAGGGGAAGAGCGCCGGGCUCAUAACCCGGAGGUACGUCUAACCGAAUUUACCUUCCAUCCGAACCACAUCACUAACAAUCACAAAGGUCCCUGGAUCGAAACCAGGACAUGCUA